rnacentral:lncRNA from 1 species
AGAUUUAAAUUUCAGAUGAUACAUAUUGGAGAGCAUUAGGAUCACUUUUUAUUUAGUAUGCUUUCUCUCUCCUUUAGUUAUAGAUUUAUGCGAUUAAGUUCCAUAAGAUCUCUCCUUCUGAGAUUUUUUUUCUCCCCCUCAAUUGAUCAUUCCAUUUAAGAGUUUAGAAUUUGAAGAUAAUGUUCAAUAAAAUUGUCAAUCU